GACCAAUGAACAAUCGCGAAAUUUCCGGAACUGUUGAUAUAAACUAAUAUUUCAUUGGUUUAAAGCCAAUUGACGUCAAUGCAAAUUAGUCUGAGGGGCAAAGUCACGCGAAGCCUCGUUUUGAUAUUGCUAUUUGGGGUAUAAAAUGACGUCAUUUUAUGGGCCAACGUACUCCACGAGGUUGGUCAGCGUGAAAACGCAUGAGACGCGUGCGAUUAAUUUUCAAGAUGGCGGACAAAGGAGAACAGUUCACUAAAGCGGAGAAAAAGCAAAUGGAGAUGCUUAACGAACGGUUUACCCUGCGUCAAAAGUACAUGGCAAAGAUCAAAAGAAGAAACCUAGCUGCAUUUGCUUGUCUCUUAGCCUCAGUUGGGGGAAUUUAUGGAUAUACACUAGUUGCAACAAGACAAGAAAAGUUAGACUUUGAUGAAUAACCAUCACAAGUGUUUUAACAUCAUCAUGCCAAUUCCUUUUAGCAAGGAGACAUGACAACACAAGAUGUUAUGAGUGACUUAAACUUGCCAAAAAACUGAGGACACUUGCAAAGAAAGAUGAAAGGAGGAUUACGAGAAAAAUGUUCAUAUGGCUGCAGCUGAUGGACCAGCAUGUUUACUGCGUGAGAAAAAAAAAAAAAAUUGAAAAUAAAGAAAUAAAAAUACUGCCACUUUUCUGUUCCAGCCUGAUCAGCACUGUGUUCUCUUAAAGUGGGUCACCAGGGAAUAAUCUUGAUUGAGUCCAAAAUUCUUCUUACCAGAUUUAAAGAAAGAGUGUAGAUACCAGUAAAGAGAAUUUAUCUUGACUUCUUGGCAUAAAGGACUAAGAUGGGUUUUAAAGUGAGCCUUUUAAUUUGUAAACAGUAAGAUGAUCUCAAAAAAAAAAAAAACUUGGAGGAUGAUAGUGGAAAAGUGUUGGAAAUGGAAACAGCUCAAUAAACUGCAUAAAGUCCAA